CCCAGGGGAGCCAGCGACACCACCACAAACAGCCUCUCCACCAGAGCCAACCUCACUGGGGGGCUGAAGACGACUCGCCCAGAUCCUUUGGCAUGCCUGAGAUGAUAAACGGUGUAUUCCAACCUUCUUGCCUCACAGGAAAUUCGAGUAAAUAGACAUCAUCAGAAAUUCGGAAGAUGUGAAUAAACAGCACAAGGAGGACAGUUCAGCUCUGAGGGUGCGGAGCGAGGCAGCCGGCAGGGGCGCCCUGCGAGGGACCGGAGGACACGAGCGCACCAGGAGGGAAGAGGGAACAGAGGCUCCAGAGGUGAGGCCUCACAGAUCACACAGGGAAGCUGGAAGAAGCCGACAGCCUGGGUUUUGACGCCUUGCCCUUUAGUUGGCUGUGACCUUGAGCAAGUCCCCGGCCCCUCUGAGCCCCGAGCCCUGGUCCUCCGGAGGGGGCGGGGCUAAUGGCCCCGUCGUGCGGGUCAGGCCCUUCACCUGCCGCUGCCCGGGGCCGGCGGGAGGGCGGGACGCGCCGGGCAGGGGCCGCUGACCUGACCGGCGCUGCCGCCCGGGAGCGGCCGAGGUGGAGGGGCCGCGCGAGGCCGGCGUGCGGGAAGGGCUCCGGGCGGGCGGGGGUCCUGUCGCGCAGCCCCCCUCCCUGG